rnacentral:lncRNA from 1 species
AGAACCAAUAUUUCAUUGGAGGAUGCCAUUUCUGGGAGAAAGAUCAGCACUGUGGCUGCACAAACUUAAUCCCAAUCGAGAUUACCCUGAAAAUAGCAAAUAAAAUCAAAGCAAAUGAGAGAUUCGCAGUUUAUAUUCUUAUACCAAUGUGGCCAGAAGGAGUUCCAGAGAGUGAAACAGUACAGGACAUAUUACAUUGGACUAGGGAAACUAUGAAGAUGAUGUAUAGGCUAGUAGGUGAAGCUUUACAAGAGAGUACUGAAACAGGGCACCCAAAAGAUUACUUAAACUUUUUCUGCCUUGCUAACAGGGAAGAAGAGAGAAAUGGAGAGUUCAUUCCUCCAUACUCACCUCACCGAGCAACACAGUACUGGAAUGCUCAAAAACAUAGGAGGUUCAUGGUUUAUCUCCAUUCCAAACUCAUGAUAGGUAUGUAUAGGCAUGAAUUAAAUUUCACAAAAUUAUUAGUUACUAUGUCCAAUUUGACUCCGUAAUCAACUUUAAAAAACUUAUGACAUCAUUGGCAAGAUGUUCGAGAAAAUGUUUCAAGUCUAAUCAUAGCAAGAAAUUAUAGAAUGAAAAAUUAUAAUGCUAAUGCAAAGAUAUGGCAAUUCUGAUAAACAUUUUUGUUUAUGAAAAUGCUAUUUCUCUACUAACUACUAUGCUUUUGCUGGUGACUUGCUAUAUAUUCUUUCAGUGGAUGACACAUACUUGUUGAUUGGAUCUGCAAAUGUAAACCAAAGAUCCAUGGAUGGCCAGCGUGACACUGAAAUUGCAAUAGGAUGCUACCAGUUGAGCAACGAAGAAGGCAAAAUAAUUAGCGGCAAUAUUCAUGAAUACCGAAAUUCAUUGUGGUACGAACAUACUGGACGAGCUGAAGAAAUCUUUCAGGAGCCUCAAAGUUUGGAAUGUGUGCGAAGAUUGAGUUCAAUAGGAGAGCAGAUGUGGAAAAUUUAUUGUGGAGAAGAAGUAGUAGACAUGGAAGGUGUUCAUUUAGUCACUUAUCCAGUGAGGGUAAAAGAGGAUGGUCUCAUUGAAGACCUUGUGGACAACAAUAGCCAAUUUCCGGACACAAAAGCACCAGUUAAGGGGAAGAGAUCCAAAGUUCUACCACCUCUUUGCACCACAUAAUGGCGAUGAAAUCUCUACUUUGGCCCACAUUUGUUGACACAAUUGCUAAAUCUUAAAUCCCUCAAUGUAUUGUUAUCCACAGAAGGUGGUUAAUCCAGAAUAAAUUGAAGUCCAAAGUUAUUGGAAAUCUGGAAUUUUAAUAUAAAAAAUUCAUGAUUCUUACAUGUAUUGUAGGCUUUUUUUAUUUUUUAUUUUAUUUUAUAUACUGGUAAAUAUUAACAACUAAUUUAAUAAAUUUAAACAUUUCAUGCAUUUGCACUAUGUUAAGAAACAAAUCCUGAUUUUGUAAUGCAUAUCACUCAUUGUGGUGAUCAUACAUUUGUAAUAUAAUGACAUAUUGUUAGGUAACUCCUUGAAUCCUAUUAUGAAAAGGUACCACAUUCGUAGUGGGAAUGUUAUUUAGGAAGAAGUUCUAUUUUAAAUAGAAAUAUUAUUAUUAUAUUGUAGGGCCCUGUUUUGAAUAGGGGAAUGAGAGGUAUGGGUACUCUAUUUAUGUUUAGUUGUUAAAUUGUAGCACAAUGAAAAGUAGUGUAGCAUCCUAGAGAGAGGGUGUAAGUGAAUUUUUUUGUGCGAGAGGAUUUUGCAGCUUUUAUAUUCCUACAAAAAAGUUGUAAUAAAGGAGUGAGGAUUUUUGAGCAUUAUCACGUGAAAAAAGUUGAGAGUAUAUUGAGGUGGUUUUAUGGAUUAGGUCAUUUUAAAUUGUUUUAUCUAUCUUUACUUAAUUGUUUAAUUUGCGUCAACUUAAUUCCCAACACAUGAUAAGAAUCAAUAAAAGACGCAAUCAAAUGUAAAUAAUGAGCUUGGAACAUGCAUCAUGUUUGAGACUCGAGUGUAGGGAGUUGAGGUAAGAAGGGUGGUUAAAUUUUUUACUACAGCUAUUGGAGAUUUUUUAUAUAAUAGACUAACAGAUAAAUGAUUAAAGAUGCUAUAUUUAACAGCCGUAAUGAUAAUAGCUAAAUAUAUGUUGAGAGAAUCUUUUAUAAUCCUACUGCAACUUCAAAAAGGGUAAAGCUAGGAGGUCUCAAAUUUUGCCUCAAAUGAUGUGCGUCAUUACAUUAGUCGAGUACAUAUAAUGUAAUUGGCUAUAUAUAAUAAAGUAUCAUUUGUCUUAUUCAAUGCAACUCCAUUUGAGACACAUUUGAGAAAAAAGAAAAGGGCUUCGAAGAAGAUCAACAAGUAACAUUAUACUACCAUAUUUCAUUAUAUAUACUCCAAGAAUGGUAACUGAUAAGAAUUUAUUUAAUUUGGUAAAGUAAGAUCUACAUCCGGAUGGACGCCUCAGCUAGACACUUUAAAUAAGACUCAACUUUUAACGAAUGAAAGGAGAAAAGAACUGCAUUACCAUUUUCUUGCUCUUUUGCAAGUCCAUGUCCAGCAGCUACCAUCUUUCAACCUGAAUAAUUGGAAAUAUUAUUAGAUGAAAGAAAUAACAGAUUCAAAACAAUAAUGAUUUUCACUAACCAAGCACGUAUGGGAUAGACAAACAACAGCUGGAAAAAGAAAUAACUUAAAAAACAAAAUUGAUUUACGCAAGCACUUAAGUGGUGAAUGCAAAACUAACAAGGACUACUACUUUCGGAGUAUGUCAAAGGCUAUUAUAAUAUCGACACUCUUACUGCCUUCAUUUUCAAUUGAACUUUGGUAGAUAUGCAGUAACACAAUGAGUGAACCACUCAUUCUGCUUCCAUUUACUAUAUAGCAUUGGUGGAUAUUCAGUCAAACAAUGAAUCACAUCAAGUAAAUACAUUAACAGCCAGGCACAAAUUUCUUCUAAUGUUUAGAAAACAUGACUUAGAGAUACUUCAUUCCCUUCCACCAAAUUCUGAAAGUAUCCCAUCUUCAUCUCUUUUCCAACUUACAUGAAAAAAAUUCAGUUUGGCAUUAAUCUAGUACUUGGACCAAACUAUCUAUCAUAAUGUAGGUAGUAAUAACAACAGAACCAUUGCUAAUAACCAAUUUCUCCAAAAGAAAUGAACACGCAAAACAAUUAUGCCACUUAAUAUCUAUCUGUGGCAUUGAACUUCCUUGUGCUAAGCGAUAUUCACUUUUCCUACAGCUCCAACUCUACUAGGAAAUUCAGCAUGUGUAGUAACAUCUCUAUCCACAAUAUCUAUUUUUCUCCUAAUGCGUUACUAGGGAAACACCUGCAACUGCUACUACUUCUGAAACCACAUUUUGAACUUACUGGUUAUAUGCUUAGAGCUCCUCUUUACUAUAUUCUUCCUUCAACAGAGCUCUAGCUAUUCCAUAUUCCUAAUAAAUAGUCACAGAAAAGCAAAGGAUUUUCAGUUGUAUCUGAAAUGACAAUAAGUUGUAUUUCCUGAAUAUAUCAUCUAGAACGAAGAAAACCAGCAUUAAUCUGCUUGUUGAUCUACAAGUACCCCAAAAAAAUGAAUAGCAAGUACUAUCAAACGAGGUAAUUAGGCAAUGAGGCAAACAAAAUUUGCUAUCACUUGAUCUAACCAAUUAGUUGCUCGAUAUUAACUUCUGCUUCCCAUUCCCUCCAAGUCUAUGAAAUAAAGAAAGGAUAUUUUUUACCUAAACUAAAAGAACCAAUUAAGGAUAAGCUGCAAGUCUUCAACAUAAGGAUCUCAAGAAUCCAUUCAAAAACUUCACACAUUCUAUAGAACUGUAUCAUGCUGCAAUACAAUAACACACUAGCUUCUUCUGUAAUGUUUCACACGGUUCAACAAUUGUUCGGCAGCUCCAUCAAAAUGACAAAUAUCAGCAAAUGUUGUGACAGGUACCAGCUAGUCCUUUUCUAUAUGCUUGUUUUUCUACGGGAUUUAGUGCUUUUUGAAGCUCCAAAAGCACCCAACGCUUGUUCGUCUAACACCAAUUUAUUCAAACACAGUUUAAUAGUUUAUUUAACUCACAAACAUAUUUGGGGCUCAAAUGCAACACACCAAAAAUAAUGCACUCCAAACACAACGCUAUUGCUCCAAACGCAACAUAUGCUACCACUCCGAACACACCAAAAGUUAGCAACUAAACAAACCCUUAUAGAGAGGGGACACAUCUAUAUAAAUAGCCAACAUAAACCAACCAUCUGAAUCCAAUUUGCCGUUCGUGACAGUAACAGGUGUUUACAUACUGUUUAAUCCACUUUUACGAUUCCAAAACUACCCUAUUCAAGGUGUUAUACAUAUCCUUGAUCUUGAAACUCCUACAAUUAGGCAAAACAGUAAAAAAAUCCUACUUAUCCUUGAGAAUGUUGUUAGAACUGUCAGUUGAGGACCACAUAAAAUCCAACAGCUUUUCAGAAAACUGCGCCAUCGUAAGCAAAGUGAAAGCGGCAACCAUAUGAAUUCCCAGUAAAAACAAAAGAAGACUAGAAAGGGAGGACCUGAACUUACGGUUCAGUAAUAAACAAGCAGCUUUAACAGCUAUAGCAGAUUAGCAUAUCCCAAGCUCCAUUUGUCCCCUCUCUACCGCUAAUUAUUAUUUGCAUCUAAUCAAGGAACUACCCAACCACCGCCAGAGAGACAACCACAUAACUAAUCUUUGAAACCAACUGUCAUCAGCAAAACUGGAUAAUACUUAAUAGAACCUAUCUAGGCUGUUUCAUCAUAAAGGGAGGAGGGGGAGGGGGAGGGGGAGGAGGAGGUGGGGUUGGUAAGCAUAUCAAGGACAACAUCUAACUAAAAAGGAGAAGGGGGAGAGAACCCUAGAAGAUAAAAAACAACUUCCCACAGAGAGAGAGAGAGAGAGAGAGAGAAAUGAGCAGAUGAAUCUAAUUCAAAAGUGAACAAACACCCAAGAACAGAGACAAAAAUGUUACCACAUUAAGUACAAUUUCUAGCUUGAAAAAUUACAAACAUAUAAUUCAGGACCCAUUGACCCAUUUAACAGAGACAGAAUACUUGCCUAUGAUGUACAGGUCAGAAGUCGGGCCCUCUUCAAAAUGGCACGCCAGCCAUCCUUCCAUCCAAUUUUCCAAGCUGAUAUCGACGCAUAAAGAAGUAACUUUUCCAGCAUGCAGGCGGCCAGACAACUUGACUACGGAACUAUAUUGCAGAGCUACAAUCAAAUGAACAAUUACAUAGAAAAAAGGUGUACUAUAACAAGAGACACAGGAUACUGCAUAACCAUGGUCUACAUGGCUGAAUACAGAUCAGAAGUAUCUGUAGUAACACUUAAAUCUCAUAACCCAACAAGAUAUGGGUUCACAAUUACUCUUCGUAUCUUGAGGCACAUAAAUCAGCAGAUAAGACAACUCGUCCAGAAGCUAUCCAAAGAUAUGUAAUAUAUGGCACCUUAAAUACGCACCACCGAUGUGUACUAUCAGGCAGAACAAUGAAGUUCACUUUUGGAGAUAAAGACAUGGCUUAAUAGAGCAGCCCAAUCAAACAGCCUCAAAUCCCAUUCCAGUUUUCAAUACAGUAACUUUUCUUACAAACUAAUCUAAAUCGCAAUUCAGCCAAAAGGUCUCUCUUACUGACAUACAUCCUGACUAGAUACUUGUAUACUUCAAUCAAAUUCAUAAACAUUUUUGACCUGUUCACACACUACAUCUUUUUGUGGCUGGUUUUGCAACUAAGACGAACAGUUGCAACAAACUUAAAGCCAUAAAGCCCUUAGAAAACAGUUUAAUUCUAUAUCUCAUGCAAAGCAGUAACAGCUGUCUCUCCCACCCUUCAAAUGCCGCCUUAAACCAAAGAAACUGCAACUUGUAACAAUGCAUAAGGCAACUAACUAAUUUUGUAUUUACGGGUUCAACGUGCAGAAAAUGCUUAGGUAUACCUAGUUUAAAAUCCACUAAAAUCAAUUAUCCUCCAAUUCAAGAUGCCAUUGUAUUCUGUCUGUUAGAUCCAAGCAAAACAUAGAAUUAAAUACAAAUAUAGGAAACACAACCCACUAAGAACCUUCAAACAACUAUAGAAACCUGAUGACUUGUAACUCCACAUCACAACUUUGACAUGCAACUAAAAUAGUCAAAUGAAAAUAUCAAAGAACGCCAUUUAGAAUAGUAGUUGGACAAGCACUCACCCCAUCUAUUCUUCAACUAUAAAUCAUAAUGAAAAUGAUUACUCGAGUACCCAACCAAUGUCAGCCCUCCAAGUUUCCUAGAUGUAUAUUCUUUAUUGUCCUUACUAAACAUCUAAAGCUUUGGAACUCUGUGGUCUCCAAAUUAAUACAAACUUGAGUAUCUUUGAAGCCAACAACAGAAGAAACUCCACAAUCUAUGCAUUGGGAUCACUUUCUUUACAAUCGAUUUCAUCCACAAUAACCAGUACUACUUCUCAGCUCACACCUCGCGACAACUCAAUUAACAAGACUUGUCUGAACAAAUAAUGUCGAGAGAAAUUUUCUUAGAAGUCGAGCAAUUAAAUGAAGAGCUCACUAAUGAAACGAAAUAGCUUAAAAAGUUC